AGGUUAUCUUGUAACCUACCCAUAAAAUGCGAGGUUAGCCAUAUAAUUUGUAUGAAAAGAUAACCUCGGUCUGCUCUAUAACCUACGCGGUUAUUUUAUAACCUACUAAAAUAUGCAUUGUUGCAUUGGAAAGCAGUCGAAAUAUACUCGAAAUUGCGACACUUCAGUAUCUAUUGUGAAUAUUUUUGCUUAAAUUUGACAGCAACUGACAAAAAAUUCGCAGGAAUUUAAAAGAUGGAGCAAUUAAAUCGGAAAAGGAAAAACCGUGUUAAAUGGACAAUAGAUGCAGAGAAAUUGCUGCUAUUGCACUGGGCAGAUAGCAUAGACGAAUUACGAAGCGCGAAAAAAAAUUUUCAUAUCUUUGCGCGUUUGGAAAAGGAAUUUUCAAAAAGGCAGAUGAACUACAGUGCAGCUGAAAUAAAGGAAAAAGUCCAUAAUUUUACCAAUCGAUACAAGUAAGUACAUUUAAAAUUAUAAAAGUAUAUUUUGCUGCAUACUCACAGCAUUAUAAUACAUACAUAUGUAUUUUAUUUUAUAGAUUAGAAAAGAAUGCGGUGGGUAUGACUAGUGGUUCGCCUUCCUCUUGGAUCCACUACAAGGAGGUGGAAGAAAUACUCAGUGGUAAUAAGGCAGUAAAUUUCAAAGAACUCAUGCAAGAGAGUAUAGAUGUGGAACCAGAUGACAACAAUGGUUGCUCUGCUAUCUACCCUUCGACGAGCAGCCAAUCCCAAUCCAUUUCAAGCGAUGAGCUUUCAGGACUUUCGACGACUCCGGAGUCUGCAAAAAGAAGGAAAUUAACCCAUGAGCGUUUAAUAGAGAAUUUGGAAAAAACUUCAGAUAUGUUUGAGAAAGAAAUGGAGUCCAUGAGAGGGGUGCAAGAAAGAAUAGUGGAACUAACCGAA